UAGAUGGCUGACAUCACUGAUGAGGAGCUGGUGAUAAGCCUGAAAGGGUAUGAUGACCUUGAGGACCUUACCAUCCGGUCUCGGGGGACAGAUCACACCUCCUUCAUUUUUCAACUGUUAGGGCAUGUGCCCUUAGAUCGUGAGACCAUCGCUUAGAUGUGAUCCCGGGGAGCAUCCCAUUCCUUCCAAACCCGACGGUAUCCUACUAGAGCCCUUAUGGCACUGUUGAUGACCAGCUGGCCUUAGAGUCGAGCCUCCUUCGAGAGUUUACCCCAACCAAUUGUACACAUAUUUAGAGGGAUCAGUUUAGGCACGUACACCGGCUUGCUGCAACUGCGAGAAGAUAGUUCUUUGACAUUAGAGAGGACUAGAGGAUAAGUAAAAAUAACAGAAAAUGAAUAAAUAUGUAUGCAUAUAUGUUAUAGAAUGUAAUGACUAACUCCUUUGGGUUUCUUUCUAUUGUAGAGGGAUCAGGAGAGCAUACAUGUCCGAGUAGAAUACCAUCAGCGUCAGAUUGAGGCUCAUCAACACUAGAUUGAGACUCUAACUCUUCAACUAUCCACUCUUCAGACCCAGAGUAUGGAUGCCGACUCUGAUGAGGGGAUAGAGGAUUCGGGAGAGAGCCUUGAUGACUUCUAACUUUAAGUUAGCUGUUAUCUUCUAUCUUGUUCUGUAUGACUUUUCUAAGAUCUAUAAAAUUUUACUUUUUAACCAUUUGAAAUGAUGUUUAAUGUUAUUUUUCAUGGUCGAGUACUGUACACACAACAACUAUCGAGACCCAAAACUCCAAAAAAUAUAUCGAAAAUGC